UUUUUUAACUGCAGCCUUAGCAAGCACUUCCCUUUUUCCUGGAAGAGACUUGCAGUCUCUUCACAGGAAACUAACCAAUCAGAGGCUUCUCAUUCAAGCCUCUGAUUGAAGCUGACCAAUAUCACUGUCUGUGGGACUGCGCAUCGAUCCAAUCAUUUUUGCCUGAGGUGAAGCUUUAUUUAGAAAAUAGGAAUAUGCCUGAUUUGCCACUUUCCCCUGAGUUUUUGCUGUUGAGACCAAUGCUGUGUCAACUCUUAACCAACAAACAGUUCCAUCUUAUUAUAGCAGCUAUUGGACGCAAAGCCAUCCUCCAAGUCUGGAACCAGCCGAGUGCUCCGACUCUACAUUUUUUUUUUAUCUAGACUUCAGUUUAUAUUUAACCCCCUGAAGGACCAAACUUUUGGAAUAAAAGGGACUCAUGACAUGUCACACAUGUCAUGUGUUCUUAAGGGGUUAAGUUGGAUUGACUACAUACAUUGACCAGCAAAGAACUCCUAGCCAGAACAUUUCUCUUGACUUGGAAAUGAUAUAUUUUGUUAUGGACUAUUCCUUUCGAUUAAAGGUAAAAAACACUUUGGAGAAGACGGCAUGGCUUUUUGGGGAAGUGGUGGUGUGUCAUGACCCCUUAUGAAGCAUUCCUUGUUAGAUAUCUAUGAUUUAGUAUUUAAGGCAGUUCUCUGGUGUGAGUUGGAGGAUAGUGGGGUUAGUACUUAGUUCAGUUUAUUUUAGUUUUUGGUUUUUAAUUUGUCUAGUCUCUCUAUUUCUUAGGUAUAUUGGAUUUUAAAAGGUAGUAUGUG